rnacentral:rRNA from 1 species
GUCCACGCCGUAAACGGUGGGUGCUAGUUGUGGGCCACAUUCCACGUGGUCUGUGACGAAGUUAACACAUUAAGCACCCCGCCUGGGGAGUACGGUCGCAAGACUAAAACUCAAAGGAAUUGACGGGGGCCCGCACAAGCGGCGGAGCAUGCGGAUUAAUUCGAUGCAACGCGAAGAACCUUACCAAGACUUGACAUAUAGAGGAAAAGCGUAGAAAUACGCUCCCCGCAAGGUCUCUAUACAGGUGGUGCAUGGUUGUCGU